GCUCCUUUGACGUUAGCGGCGGACGGGUGAGUAACACGUGGAUAACCUACCUAUAAGACUGGGAUAACUUCGGGAAACCGGAGCUAAUACCGGAUAAGAUUUUGAACCGCAUGGUUCAAUAGUGAAAGACGGCCUUGCUGUCACUUAUAGAUGGAUCCGCGCCGUAUUAGCUAGUUGGUAAGGUAACGGCUUACCAAGGCAACGAUACGUAGCCGACCUGAGAGGGUGAUCGGCCACACUGGAACUGAGACACGGUCCAGACUCCUACGGGAGGCAGCAGUAGGGAAUCUUCCGCAAUGGGCGAAAGCCUGACGGAGCAACGCCGCGUGAGUGAUGAAGGUCUUCGGAUCGUAAAACUCUGUUAUCAGGGAAGAACAAACGUGUAAGUAACUGUGCACGUCUUGACGGUACCUGAUCAGAAAGCCACGGCUAACUACGUGCCAGCAGCCGCGGUAAUACGUAGGUGGCAAGCGUUAUCCGGAAUUAUUGGGCGUAAAGCGCGCGUAGGCGGUUUUUUAAGUCUGAUGUGAAAGCCCACGGCUCAACCGUGGAGGGUCAUUGGAAACUGGAAAACUUGAGUGCAGAAGAGGGAAGUGGAAUUCCAUGUGUAGCGGUGAAAUGCGCAGAGAUAAGGAGGAACACCAGUGGCGAAGGCGACUUUCUGGUCUGUAACUGACGCUGAU
rnacentral:rRNA from 1 species